rnacentral:rRNA from 1 species
GAGUUUGAUCGUGGCUCAGAUUGAACGCUGGCGGCAGGCCUAACACAUGCAAGUCGAGCGGUAGAGAGAAGCUUGCUUCUCUUGAGAGCGGCGGACGGGUGAGUAAUGCCUAGGAAUCUGCCUGGUAGUGGGGGAUAACGCUCGGAAACGGACGCUAAUACCGCAUACGUCCUACGGGAGAAAGCAGGGGACCUUCGGGCCUUGCGCUAUCAGAUGAGCCUAGGUCGGAUUAGCUAGUUGGUGAGGUAAUGGCUCACCAAGGCGACGAUCCGUAACUGGUCUGAGAGGAUGAUCAGUCACACUGGAACUGAGACACGGUCCAGACUCCUACGGGAGGCAGCAGUGGGGAAUAUUGGACAAUGGGCGAAAGCCUGAUCCAGCCAUGCCGCGUGUGAAGAAGGUCUUCGGAUUGUAAAGCACUUUAAGUUGGGAGGAAGGGCAGUAAAUUAAUACUUUGCUGUUUUGACGUUACCGACAGAAUAAGCACCGGCUAACUCUGUG